rnacentral:rRNA from 1 species
GACGAACCGAGCGAACGUUGUUCGGAAUCACUGGGCUUAAAGGGCGCGUAGGCGGGCUGUCAAGUCUGGGGUGAAAUCCCGCGGCUCAACCGUGGAACUGCCUCAGAUACUGACGGUCUCGAGGGAGGUAGGGGCGAGCGGAACUGAUGGUGGAGCGGUGAAAUGCGUUGAUAUCAUCAGGAACUCCGGUGGCGAAGGCGUCUCGCUGGACCUCUUCUGACGCUGAGGCGCGAAAGCGUGGGGAGCAAACAGG